rnacentral:snRNA from 1 species
GUGCUCACCUCUACAGCACAUAUACUAAAAUUGGAAUGAUACAGAGAAGAUUAGCAUGGCCCCUGCGCAAUGAUGACACACAAAUUUGUGAAGCGUUCCAUAUUUGA